CCAGAGCCCUGGGGCUGGGCUGAUGGGAAGUCUGAACUGUCUCUGUUUCCUUGGUCUCCGGCAG
rnacentral:miRNA from 1 species